CCUACGGGGGGCACCAGUGGGGAAUAUUGCACAAUGGGCGCAAGCCUGAUGCAGCCAUGCCGCGUGUAUGAAGAAGGACUUAGGGUUGUAAAGUACUUUCAGUUGGGAGGAAGGCGUUGAUGCUAAUAUCAUCAACGAUUGACGUUACCAACAGAAGAGGCACCGGCUAACUCCGUGCCAGCAGCCGAGGUAAUACGGAGGGUGCAAGCGUUAAUCGGAAUUACUGGGCGUAAAGCGCACGCAGGCGGUUGAUUGAGUUAGAUGUGAAAUCCCCGGGCUUAACCUGGGAAUGGCAUCUAAGACUGGUCAGCUAGAGUCUUGUAGAGGGGGGUAGAAUUCCAUGUGUAGCGGUGAAAUGCGUAGAGAUGUGGAGGAAUACCGGUGGCGAAGGCGGCCCCCUGGACAAAGACUGACGCUCAGGUGCGAAAGCGUGGGGAGCAAACAGGAUUAGAUACCCUGGUAGUC
rnacentral:rRNA from 1 species